UACAGAGGUCUCAAGCGUUUGUUCGGAUUCAUUGGGCGUAAAGGGUGCGUAGGCGGCGCGGUAAGUCGGGUGUGAAAUCUCGGAGCUUAACUCCGAAACUGCAUUCGAUACUGCCGUGCUUGAGGACUGGAGAGGAGACUGGAAUUUACGGUGUAGCGGCGAAAUGCGUAGAUAUCGUAAGGAAGACCAGUGGCGAAGGCGGGUCUCUGGACAGUUCCUGACGCUGAGGCACGAAGGCCAGGGGAGCAAACGGG
rnacentral:rRNA from 1 species